GCCUUCUUGGUGUAGUGGUCAGCACGUUCGUCGCGUAUCCGAGAGGUCUGUGGUUCGAAUCCCGGUGAUGGCA
rnacentral:tRNA from 1 species